GGGUUGUGAGGUUAAGCGACUAAGCGUACACGGUGGAUGCCCUGGCAGUCAGAGGCGAUGAAGGACGUGCUAAUCUGCGAAAAGCGUCGGUAAGGUGAUAUGAACCGUUAUAACCGGCGAUGUCCGAAUGGGGAAACCCAGUGCAAUUCGUUGCACUAUCGUUAACUGAAUACAUAGGUUAACGAGGCGAACCGGGGGAACUGAAACAUCUAAGUACCCCGAGGAAAAGAAAUCAACCGAGAUUCCCCCAGUAGCGGCGAGCGAACGGGGAGCAGCCCAGAGUCUGAAUCAGCUUGUGUGUUAGUGGAACGGUCUGGAAAGUCCGACGGUACAGGGUGAUAGUCCCGUACACCAAAAUGCACAGGCUGUGAACUCGAAGAGUAGGGCGGGACACGUGGUAUCCUGUCUGAAUAUGGGGGGACCAUCCUCCAAGGCUAAAUACUCCUGACUGACCGAUAGUGAACCAGUACCGUGAGGGAAAGGCGAAAAGAACCCCGGCGAGGGGAGUGAAAAAGAACCUGAAACCGUGUACGUACAAGCAGUGGGAGCACCUUCGGGUGUGACUGCGUACCUUUUGUAUAAUGGGUCAGCGACUUAUAUUCUGUAGCAAGGUUAACCGUAUAGGGGAGCCGCAGGGAAACCGAGUCUUAACUGGGCGUUAAGUUGCAGGGUAUAGACCCGAAACCCGGUGAUCUAGCCAUGGGCAGGUUGAAGGUUGGGUAACACUAACUGGAGGACCGAACCGACUAAUGUUGAAAAAUUAGCGGAUGACUUGUGGCUGGGGGUGAAAGGCCAAUCAAACCGGGAGAUAGCUGGUUCUCCCCGAAAGCUAUUUAGGUAGCGCCUCGUGAAUUCAUCUUCGGGGGUAGAGCACUGUUUCGGCUAGGGGGUCAUCCCGACUUACCAACCCGAUGCAAACUACGAAUACCGAAGAAUGUUAUCACGGGAGACACACGGCGGGUGCUAACGUCCGUCGUGAAGAGGGAAACAACCCAGACCGCCAGCUAAGGUCCCAAAGUCAUGGUUAAGUGGGAAACGAUGUGGGAAGGCACAGACAGCCAGGAUGUUGGCUUAGAAGCAGCCAUCAUUUAAAGAAAGCGUAAUAGCUCACUGGUCGAGUCGGCCUGCGCGGAAGAUGUAACGGGGCUAAACCAUGCACCGAAGCUGCGGCAGCGACACUAUGUGUUGUUGGGUAGGGGAGCGUUCUGUAAGCCUGCGAAGGUGUGCUGUGAGGCAUGCUGGAGGUAUCAGAAGUGCGAAUGCUGACAUAAGUAACGAUAAAGCGGGUGAAAAGCCCGCUCGCCGGAAGACCAAGGGUUCCUGUCCAACGUUAAUCGGGGCAGGGUGAGUCGACCCCUAAGGCGAGGCCGAAAGGCGUAGUCGAUGGGAAACAGGUUAAUAUUCCUGUACUUGGUGUUACUGCGAAGGGGGGACGGAGAAGGCUAUGUUAGCCGGGCGACGGUUGUCCCGGUUUAAGCAUGUAGGCUGAUUGUCCAGGCAAAUCCGGAUAAUCAAGGCUGAGGUGUGAUGACGAGGCACUACGGUGCUGAAGUAACAAAUGCCCUGCUUCCAGGAAAAGCCUCUAAGCAUCAGGUAACAUCAAAUCGUACCCCAAACCGACACAGGUGGUCAGGUAGAGAAUACCAAGGCGCUUGAGAGAACUCGGGUGAAGGAACUAGGCAAAAUGGUGCCGUAACUUCGGGAGAAGGCACGCUGGUGUGUAGGUGAAGCCCCUGCGGGUGGAGCUGAGACCAGUCGAAGAUACCAGCUGGCUGCAACUGUUUAUUAAAAACACAGCACUGUGCAAACACGAAAGUGGACGUAUACGGUGUGACGCCUGCCCGGUGCCGGAAGGUUAAUUGAUGGGGUUAUCCGUAAGGAGAAGCUCUUGAUCGAAGCCCCGGUAAACGGCGGCCGUAACUAUAACGGUCCUAAGGUAGCGAAAUUCCUUGUCGGGUAAGUUCCGACCUGCACGAAUGGCGUAAUGAUGGCCAGGCUGUCUCCACCCGAGACUCAGUGAAAUUGAACUCGCUGUGAAGAUGCAGUGUACCCGCGGCAAGACGGAAAGACCCCGUGAACCUUUACUAUAGCUUGACACUGAACAUUGAGCCUUGAUGUGUAGGAUAGGUGGGAGGCUUUGAAGCGUGGACGCCAGUCUGCGUGGAGCCAACCUUGAAAUACCACCCUUUAAUGUUUGAUGUUCUAACGUUGGCCCCUUACCGGGGUUGCGGACAGUGUCUGGUGGGUAGUUUGACUGGGGCGGUCUCCUCCCAAAGCGUAACGGAGGAGCACGAAGGUUAGCUAAUCCUGGUCGGACAUCAGGAGGUUAGUGCAAUGGCAUAAGCUAGCUUGACUGCGAGCGUGACGGCGCGAGCAGGUGCGAAAGCAGGUCAUAGUGAUCCGGUGGUUCUGAAUGGAAGGGCCAUCGCUCAACGGAUAAAAGGUACUCCGGGGAUAACAGGCUGAUACCGCCCAAGAGUUCAUAUCGACGGCGGUGUUUGGCACCUCGAUGUCGGCUCAUCACAUCCUGGGGCUGAAGUAGGUCCCAAGGGUAUGGCUGUUCGCCAUUUAAAGUGGUACGCGAGCUGGGUUUAGAACGUCGUGAGACAGUUCGGUCCCUAUCUGCCGUGGGCGCUGGAGAAUUGAGGGGGGCUGCUCCUAGUACGAGAGGACCGGAGUGGACGCAUCACUGGUGUUCGGGUUGUCAUGCCAAUGGCACUGCCCGGUAGCUAAAUGCGGAAGAGAUAAGUGCUGAAAGCAUCUAAGCACGAAACUUGCCCCGAGAUGAGUUCUCCCUGAGACUUUAAGUCUCCUGAAGGAACGUUGAAGACGACGACGUUGAUAGGCCGGGUGUGUAAGCGCAGCGAUGCGUUGAGCUAACCGGUACUAAUGAACCGUGAGGCUUAACCUUACAACGCCGAAG
rnacentral:rRNA from 1 species